rnacentral:rRNA from 1 species
UACGGAGGAUGCGAGCGUUAUCCGGAUUUAUUGGGUUUAAAGGGUGCGUAGGCGGGUUAUCAAGUCAGCGGUAAAAUUGCGGGGCUCAACCCCGUCGAGCCGUUGAAACUGUCAGACUUGAGUUGGCGAGAAGUACGCGGAAUGCGCGGUGUAGCGGUGAAAUGCAUAGAUAUCGCGCAGAACUCCGAUUGCGAAGGCAGCGUACCGGCGCCACACUGACGCUGAGGCACGAAAGCGUGGGGAUCGAACAGG